ensembl:lncRNA
UAGGACUUCAGCAGAUCCUCUCCGAGGCAGGGCUGGCGGCGCUGCCGGGGCUCCGAGCGGGCGUUUCGCUAGAGACAGGCCAGUGGAACCACCCCGGUUUGACUCCCCACAUCUUCGGCGUGGAAGGAGAUGCUCCCAGCAGGCAGGUCCUUGUUUACACGGCACAAGCCCUGCCUCCAGGACCUGGAAGCACCGGGAGGGCACCCAGGGAGGACUGGGGUG